UACAUAGGUGGCAAGCGUUGUUCGGAAUUCCUGGGCGUAAAGGGCGCGUAGGCGGUCUUGCAAGUCCUGUGUGAAAUCCCUCGGCUCAACUGAGGAACUGCACAGGAAACUGCUUGGCUUGAGUUCGGGAGAGGGAAGCGGAAUUCCGGGUGUAGCGGUGAAAUGCGUAGAGAUCCGGAGGAACACCGGUGGCGAAGGCGGCUUCCUGGACCGACACUGACGCUGAGGCGCGAAAGCUAGGGGAGCAAACGGG
rnacentral:rRNA from 1 species